rnacentral:sRNA from 1 species
AAGGAAAAAUAGAGGAGGAAGGAAAGAAAACUAGCUAUUUUUCAUGAUCUGUCCUGAGAAAAUAUUUCUAAACUCACCCUACAAACUGCUGUCUAUAACACCAUUGGAGUCAAAUGGGCCCCUUUCAGACAGGGAAAUUCACAGCUGCUGGCUGUGGCAUGCAGGGCACGCAGCCAGGGACACCUAAGAGCAAGUGCUUGCCUCUCUCUCUCACCCAGAAUGAUGAUGCAGGAAUGACAAAGGGAGAUACUGGGGAAUGUCAAGUCAAACAAAUCAUAGCUCUUCUCCGGUGGCUCCUGUGACCUUGUUCUGAGGUAAGGCACACAGGCGGGAGGGACAUUCAGGAUAAGCAAUGUUUGUCAUCUGAGGCUUCUAUCUGCUCCAAACGGAACUUUAAAUCUCCCUUAUGGAGGCAUUGACAUUUAGUUUGGCACAUUUUCAGAUACUAGGGGAAAAAAAAAACAUGACUUGACAAGAAAAAAAGUCAAGUUAAUACACAGGAAAAGGAGGCCAUUAUUUCCAUAGUUCAGCAUCUAAUUUACAUAGAAGCAUGCAAACACGCGUUUUUGGACACUAGAAUUUCUAUUGUUUUAAAUUACUGUUUUUUUCUGUCACUGAGUCAAGGAAGAUAACUGUGGCUUUUACAAAUCCCAAAUCAAGUAAAAUUAGGUUCCCCAUUGCUACAUCCAGAAUCAAUCAAUCUUUCUUUCUUUCUUUCUUUCUUUCUUUCUUUCUUUCUUUCUUUCUUUCUAUCUUCCUUCCUUCCUCCCUUCCUCCAUCCCUCCCUCCCUUCCUUCUUUCCUUCCCGUGCUUAUUUUCAAUCAUAUGAGGUUUUUAUCUAAAAGUCGCUGAGUUGACCUGUCUCAUAUUAAGCUUUAUCGCCUGCAAAGAUGAAGGAGGCGGUCGUCCAGGGAAGUAUUAGCAUUCUUCUUAGGGUGGUUAUAAAUAUUAAAUUGGGCACAUGCUUAUCUGAUAAACUUUACUAUACAUAGACCAAGUUUCGAUUAGGGCAGGGGCAGGGGUAUUAUUUUAUAUGACAAACUGAUCCAGCUCUUUCCCCAAAUUAAAACAUGAGGACUCCUGAGGGACUGUGUGCACACACAUGCCUUUAAGGAGAGAGACUUUAUAAUCGAUAGGCUCGCUGAAAGUUUAUUUUUGUCCCCGUUAGAAAGAGCGUCUAAUUCUGCCCCCCCCCAACCAAUGCGCACACUUCGCUCCAGCCUGAACAUCCUGUGACUUCAGUAGUCCUGACAUUUUAAGGUGGUAUUUGAUCCUUCCAAAUCUUUGAAGAUCAUUUUUCUGCAGACUCUUCACCAUCCCACCUUUAAAGAUAAAAGGCCAGUCUGUGAAGGAGAUCAGGUCGAAGAAAGUUCAGUUUUGUAAUUCCAGCAACAGGACACUUCCCUCACUGACUGUCUCCCACAUAUCAGUUAUUUGAGACAGACUUUUUUAUUUGUUUGUUUGUUUUUCUUUUUUAGAAGAAAGAGAGGUCUGGUGUCAAAAGUGCUGCCAAACAUCCCCAAAUCACAGAGUCUCUUAACUCCGACAGGUUAAGAAAAGACAGUUUGCCUUCAUACCUUCAGCUUUCCUUAUUAACUUUGACCUCGGCCUUUUCUCAGUCAGCUGCUUACACAGGCAUUUCACACAGGAGAAGUGAAGGAAAUUCCAGAAGAAAAGCAAGCAGCAUAAAAACGACUUUUUACGGAAAGUUCAACAACCUCCAGAGAGAUCGAGUAUGGCAUGCUGAAGGAGCUGACUUCAUUUAUUAAAUGCACUUCCCGAUGUGUUAAGUAACUCGUUCUUCUAAGUGCACAGGAUUUUGUCUGGAGGAGCGACCAACUGGAUCCACUUCAACUCUGGAGAUCACUACAUGCCACCACAUACUAUAUUGUUGGCCACGAGCAGCACUGAAUCUUCACGUGUAGCUUCUUACACUGUCAUGCCCCAUAGUACCCACAGCUAAAUCUAUACUUUCCAGCAAAGAACACAAGCCUGCAAUUGCCCUUACAGUUUCAAAGCUUAGCUUUGCAGGUAAUUGGGGAAAGUUAGUUAUGUUCUCCGUGCACAAGUUAAUUCAUUCCCACUAAAACAAUUACAGCAUUGACUGUGUCAUGAGUCUGUGAGGAUUGUAUAGUUCACAUGAAGCUGCUUAGGAACAUGUAAGCAUUCAUGUGUGCAUAAUUAUACAUUACUGUACUUUUAUUUUCAUUAUUUUUAUUGUACAAAUGUAAAUUUCUUUCUUCAUAUCAUAGAGAAUUGACACAGCAACAUUAACUUGAUUUAAUUAGCUCAUAAAAUCUGGACUUGCCAAGCUGGUCAACUGAGGCCACUUUUGGGAACCCAGAGGAAGAAGGUAUCUUCUAUAUCUAUUAUAUAGUCUAUCUAUUUAUGGGGAUAAAUAGAUGUUGGUAGAAGUGGAGGUUUCUGGAAUUGUCUGAAAAUAGUUCCUAUUGCCAAACUUUUGUACAUCAAGUGUGUGUACAAGAAAGACCUCAGAAAGUCAGCACUGCUAUAGGACUGUGCACAAGCCAAGUAUCUGAAUAAUUUCUGGUGACUGGGCUUUUUCCCUGUUGAGUUCGAUGACUGUACUCCACUAGGAGAAAGGUCAUGAAGCAUGGUUCCUGCUAGGGCUGACAUUUAACAAGGAGUGAUUGAUUUGAAAGCAGGAUUGAUACUCAGAUUUAGUCUACCGGUGUUUUGCUAAAAUCCCUUUAAAAUGGGACUGUAAGUUCAUCCUCUCUUUUUCUUUCCUCUGAAUAGAUUUUUUUUUAACUAGGCCAAAAACUACCAAUAGCCAGCUCAAGUAAAACACAAGCCAAUUCAUGUCUUCAGUGUCCACCAUCUGAGUAUCUCCUAGUUAGAGGAAUGAUCACAGUUCUUAAAGUAUGAAAACACUAGUUACUGAUCGCUACCUAUCCUGAGCCCUCACUGCUAACACAGGAGCUCCAGAUGAAAUCUAAAUUUGCUAUUUCAAGCCCAUUGCUGUGUUGAUCAUUUGAGAUAAAAAUGACAUAGUUUUGAGUCUUCGGAAACUGCUCCACUUAACUCCCAAACCGUUGCUUUUGAAAAAGGCUAAUUUGGGGUUGGGUACAUUGGUGUUGCUGCCUUGUAAAACGGCAAGCUUUUUUUUAAAAAAGAAAAAGAAAGAAAAGAAAAAAAUGAAAAAAAUGGCAGCAGAGACAUUUUUUCUAGCCCAUGUCAGCACAAAAGGGUGACUCAGUUGUUUCAUCUCCCAACAGCUGCAUGCUUUCAUUGACAUUUGGUGACCUUUCUUUGUGCACCCAGCCUAACCUCUUAGGUUAUUUCCUGGCCUCCCUUCUGUGACCUAUGACCGAAGCUGACCUUUAGCUGGAGAAUGUGACAUUUUGUUCUCCUCUAGCUGACAUGUGAUGCUCUCAUUAUUCAAAGAGCCAUCUUGGGAACAGUUCCAAACUGUGGAGAACAGAAGUUUCGACUGCUUGACUGAAGUGUUAACGUCAUCCAGUCUGAGAUUUCAUAACUUUACAAACAAGAGGCCGAGGCCUCAGUGGAGUCACCAGUGGCCGUCUUAAUUACAGCAUCAACAAAUGAGCAUUUCAGCAAAAACACGCAACCUUCUUGGUGCAGGUUCAGCUAAAGUUUCUCAUUCUGAAGCUGUCGUUUCCUCUCUACUUUCACCUCCUCAUUCUUGGGAAAAAAAGUAGUUUCCCCAUUACAGUCUUUUUUUUAAAAGUAUAGUUAAAAAAUAAAAUAAUAUCUUGGGUCCUGUGGAUCUUUUCUCAUGAAUGACUUAGUUAGCUGUUUAAGCUUGUGUCAAGAUAAUAUCCUCGAAAUUUGCUGAAAUAACCAUUCUCUUUCAGGUCAUGAUGUCUGUGAUUAGUUUCAAAGAGGCUAGGGCAUAUGUCAAUGCUGUAGGAAAUGUGUUGUUUAUGCCCCAAGAAGCUGUAUCUUCUCCUGAGUGCUACCUUCCCCGUGAAGAGAUGAGUUGAUUUCUGAAUUGUAAAACAAUGCCAUAUGGGAUAUAGGUUCAACAAAUAUUUGAAUGGAAGCUUUAUACAGAGAACUCCAGUGGUGAUAAAAUAGUGAGUCCUGCACCUGGCCUUCAACAAAGAUGUGUCCUUACCAAGAGCACACUGAAAUGUCUAACUCCUGAAAGAAUGUUUUGCAAGUUUUAGAGUUUGACAAGAUAUGGUGACUCGAGCCUGCAACACCAGGUCUUGGGUGGCCAAGGUGAAAGGAUAGCUUUAAUUUCAGGGCUGACCUGAGCUAGAUAGCAGGGUUCUGUUUCAAAACAAAAGCCGUGUGGAUCCCCCACCAAAGAAAAGCCUCAAUGUAAAUCUGCUUUCAUAAUUUUAAUAACUCUAUCCAAUCAAUUCUGAUGUUCUGUUCAUAGAUGAGUUCUUAGCUUACAUAUAAAAUAUCUUUCCUGUGUCAUUUUUAUGCCUAAUUGGUGUAUAACAUCCACUGAACAUCAAAAUAAAUGUUAUAAGUCAUUG